rnacentral:lncRNA from 1 species
AAGCACUAACCAGACUGGGAUAGAGGUCUCCGUCUCUGAGAAGUUCAUAGUCUGUUGCAGGAGACAGAAAGGAACAGGGAAGCUUUCAGAAAGAAGUGUUGUCUGUCUGGAACUGAGCAUCAUCUCUGGUGUCAAGGUUUGGGUUGUUGGCUGGGCUCCAAGGAUGAUGUGAUGCAGUGGUCAAUAAAAACCACGCAUGUCACUCUGAAUGUGCAUUAAAGGGAGAAAGGUAAAGAUGAAUGCACCCAUCUGCAGAUGAGCACAGCUGUCCUGUCAGCCUCGGAGGCCCUGGAGCAGGCUUUCUGUGGUGCUUCUACUGAACCAUCUGCCUGCUUGCAGGAUGAUCCUGCUCCACACAUGCACAGGAGAUGCCUCAGGGGAGGCCCCGCUGUGGAUCCAAAGUGACCCUCAAAGCCUCAUGAGUUUGGAAAGUGGAUGGAUCACAGGAGCACUGUAUUCACCAGCAGAUUCACCCAUUAACAGCACUGUUCAUGCAAAGGCUGAUAACUAUCUACAGUGGAAAUGGGAGAACAGUGACCUCUGAACUUUGAUUGACCCAAACUACUUGCGAUCUUCAAUGAAAAGUGCAAAUUCCAAAACACCACUCUUCAGACUUUGGGCCAAUAACCUCAGAAAACUGCCACUGGGCUAUGUCUAAAGAAGCCCUGGAAGCAGGACUCCCACCAAGGCCCCUCACUACAGAGCUACCCAUGGACAUCACCAGCCAGGAGAGCUGCAGUCAUGAGAACUCUAAACCAAGAGAGAACCAGAGAAAGCAUGAUGGAUCAUCAGGAGUGAAUUUGAGGUCACCAACUGUAUGAAUAGGAAAAGCCCUGGCCAUCUGAUGGAUGUAUAAUGAAAUGCGGAUUCUAUAUGCUCUGGAUGAAAUGAUCCGAGAUGCUGAGGGGUACUUCAACUCAUAACCAUCUCAAAUGGGAUGUGGGGGGUGAGCAGGGUGGUCAGCACUGCCGAACAGAGUGGACACGGGCUCCCUACGGGGCCUGCGGUGGAGUUCUGCUGACUCAGACACGGACGAAGAUCUUCAGGGUAUGCACACGUAGUGCCACCUCAUUAUGUUUCAUGCGCCAGGAUUUUAUUUUUUAUUGUCCUUUUAGUUGUAGUGUAUGUGCAGUUUUUCUUUAUUAUAGUAUAUGUUCUUUGCAGUCAUAAUGACACGGUUAAUUUUAUGUAUCCUUCACAAUUUUAAUAUAAUCAUAUCAAGACUCAAUGGCUUAUUUAAAAUGGAUGAAUCAUUCUUGCUUUGUAGAGUAUUUUUGUGGUUCAAAUGACCCAGAAGUGGGGAACAGCUCAAUGCUCAGGAGUUCAGAGAGUAAACUUACUAUUGUUGUGCUAUUAGCAGCUAAGUGUUGAGAGCUUAUCCUCUUCAUUUAGUCCUCCUUAAUUAGCUAACUAGUUAGUAGAAAUUAGGGAGGCAUAAACCCAAAGCACACGCCUCCAUUAGCAAUGUCCAUGUUUUCU